GGUGCCUCCGCGUGCCCUUCUCUGCACAAUAGCCAUCGUGACGACGAUGAAUCCCUGCUCCAUCCUCAUGUGGAUGACCUGAUCCGCCUGCACGAAUAAGCCUCCGCUGCCCUGGUGAUCCAGCACAGCACCGAGGCCCUGUCCCGCACGAGCGAGGAUGCCUGGAUCUGCCCGUGCUAGAAGGCCCUUCUCCGUCUGCAUGUCGACAUCCUGAUCCGCACGUGCAAGGACGCUUGGCUCUGCCCGUGCUACGAGCCCCUGCUCCGCCAGCGCGCCCUACUUUGCCCAGACGACUACGCCUUGGUCUUGACGGUACGCACCAUCGAAUCACCACUCAUCCCCUCCCUGGGUUGUCGACCACUGGGUCUUUGAUUGUGCUCCCCCACCAGCCACUCCACAGUGGAGCUCGACCUCCGCCGAGCAUGCAAGACCUCGACAUCGCUUCCUCGCCACUCUCACCCACAUCUAAGGCGUUGCCCGGCACGGCCACAGCUCUGCCCCAAGCGGCCAUCCAUGGAUCCACCGGAGAAGCACACCAGCAGCAAUGCAUAGCAGAGAAGAAAAGGCCACCCGUCUUCUUCAGCCCGAUCUGCAGCCCCGCUGCCGUGUCCCCAGCCUGAUCUCUAGCUCCGCCCCAGCCUCAUCGGCCUGCCAUCCGGAUCCUCGUCAUCUCCGUCCCCGCCGCAACCUCACCAGACCGUCACCCCUUCCUCGCCAUCUCAGGCAUUUCUGACGGCCGUCGGAAGCCAAUGCUGCCAUUAUUGCCACCGUCGAUGUAGAGUACACCAAGGAGGCCACCAACCAAUCACAGCGAUGUGUAAUGGUUUGUCUCCUCAAGGCUGCAGAUUGAAGUGGAUCGUGUUCUAUCCAUUUGGUCCUCAAAGUUCAUUUACAUAUGUCAUGGUGAGAAGCAACUACUAUAGAUAAUCGACAUGACCGGAUGCAUUACAGCAUGGGCAGCGUCAAACCAGGAGGGAAAAGGGUGAUGGUGGCAAGAUGUGGAGCUGUCGGCGGAACCAAAAAAAAAUGGGUAAGAUUUGCUCAUCUUCCUUCACCUCAGGUUUGCCCACUCUCUGAAAUUUGAUUACGCUACUGGAUUUGUUACUUCUCAAUGAAAAUUGUUUGAUACAUUUGUAUCAGUAGGUGAAAAGGAAGAACUUUACUUACUAGAUAUAAUUGAUUGUACACAUUGUGAUCCAGUGCAAUUAGUAAAUGGAUAGAUCUUCAUAUACUUCUGUGCUCAGAUCUGCAUAUUUUUCCUGUCCUCUACUGUUCUAGGUUUUUGUGAGGUAGAAUCGAAUAUCUUCAAUUUGAAUAAAAAUCCUACAUCUUCUUUCUUCAGUUUGUUUGACUAUUUCUUGGCUAGAGAGUUGGAUAUGUGCUAGAACUGCCUAGGCAGUGCUACGAAAAGAAGUAUCCCAUGAAUAUGAAUAUUCUGGUUGCCAUGUAAGCUGUCUCUGGUGUUUACAUUUUUUUCAUUUUCAGAUUACCAUUUGCAAAAAGAAGAAGGUUGAACAAUACGACUUUCCAUUACCAAUUAAUUUACACAGUUUUCCAUUGCCACUUAUGUUGUUUGAAACUACCACUUCUCUUUUUAAAAGCAGCAUGAGUUGACAUUCCACAUCAUGAGUUUAGUUUCAGGGAGAUGAUAUUCCACAUCAUGAAUUGUCACAUCUAGUUAAGAGAAGGUUUUCACAGAGAUCUCCAAUCAGGUCUGCAACAGCUAGCACAACCAGUACAAUAUUGUUUCUUCUCCAUACAGGUUGCUGGCCCACACUCUAUUCUACUAGUCUGAUUUAUUUCGGGUGUGUUUUCUUCGUCCUUCUUCUCAUACGAUAUUCCCCAUUUCAAAAUUUCAGUUGUUUCACUUGUAACAAUAGUGUUGACCUUAUUACUGUUUGUCUCCUUCUUAUUUUGUUAUUUACAAAAGUGUGUUACAUUAUUAAACUGAUGCAACAGUUGCAUCACCCAUGACAUGCUGCUUAACUGGCUCAUUGUUUUUAUUUGGCCAUUGCGAAUUCAGCUGCUCAGGAGGUAUGGCACCUGAAUGCUGAUGCACCCUAGACGCACAUGAGAGCAGGACUUUUGACAACAACUUCUCAAUUCAUCUCUUCAGAAAUAAAAAAAAAAUGUUGUUGCUUCGGAUACAAUGAUAUGAAAACUGGCUAUACUUUUAUUUGUUCAGAUACCUUCAGAAACUACUCUACUGUUUCUGGUAGUUAGGUUUGUUGCUUGGCGAAAAUAUUUGACAGCUAUCAUGGGAUAGACUAUCAUAUCUCUAAGUGCAAGUUGGUAAGAUUGUAUCGCUUGUUAGUCAGUGUCGCCGUUUACACUUUCCUAACACCUACCUUGUGCAGAUUCUAUUGCCACAUGCUCUCAUCAGUAACUACAUUUUGUUCA